rnacentral:rRNA from 1 species
UACGGGGGGGGGCAAGCGUUGUUCGGAAUUACUGGGCGUAAAGGGCUCGUAGGUGGCCAACUAAGUCAGACGUGAAAUCCCUCGGCUUAACCGGGGAACUGCGUCUGAUACUGGAUGGCUUGAGUUUGGGAGAGGGACGCGGAAUUCCAGGUGUAGCGGUGAAAUGCGUAGAUAUCUGGAGGAACACCGGUGGCGAAGGCGGCGUCCUGGACCAACACUGACACUGAGGAGCGAAAGCCAGGGGAGGACAAA